rnacentral:pre_miRNA from 1 species
AGUUAGUAAUUCUGUUGAAUGCAAUGGUGGAGUUGAUGGUUCUGGUGAAUGUGCAGCAGGAUGCAAACCAUCAACUCCACCAUUGCAUUCACCAAAACAA